rnacentral:rRNA from 1 species
AUUGAACGCUAGCGGGAUGCCUUACACAUGCAAGUCGAACGGAGUGGCGAACGGGUGAGUAAUGUAUCGGAACGUGCCCAAUAGCUGGGGAUACCUACGCGAAAGCGUAGCUAAUACCGCAUACUAUUGGAGCGUCCGAUAUCGGAUUAGCUAGUUGGUGGGGUAACGUCUCACCAGGGCGACGAUCCGUAGCUGGUUUGAGCGGACGACCAGCCACCCUGGUACUGAGACACGGCCCAGACGCCUACGGUAGGCAGCAGUGGGGAAUUUUGGACGAUGGGGGAAAGCCUGAUACAGCCAUCCCGCGUGUGCGAUGAAGGCCUUCGGGUCGUAAAGCACUUUUGGCAGGAAAGCGGUACCUGCAGAAUAAGCAACGGCUAACUACGUGCCAGCAGCCGCGGUAAUAC